CAGAAUGACCGAGUGGUUAAGGUGAUUGCUUGCUAAUCAAUUGUAAUUUUACGCGUGGGUUCGAUCCCCACUUCUGU